rnacentral:rRNA from 1 species
UACGUAGGGGGCAAGCGUUAUCCGGAUUUACUGGGUGUAAAGGGUGCGUAGCCGGAAAUGUAAGUCAGAUGUGAAAGCCCGAAGCUCAACUUCGGGAUUGCAUUUGAAACUGCAUUUCUAGAGUGCAGGAGAGGAAAGUGGAAUUCCUAGUGUAGCGGUGAAAUGCGUAGAUAUUAGGAGGAACACCAGUGGCGAAGGCGACUUUCUGGACUGUAACUGACGGUGAGGCACGAAAGCGUGGGGAGCAAACAGG